UACAGAGGUCUCAAGCGUUGUUCGGAUUUAUUGGGCGUAAAGGGUGCGUAGGUGGCGCCGUAAGUCGGGUGUGAAAUUUCGGAGCUUAACUCCGAAACUGCAUUCGAUACUGCGGUGCUUGAGGACUGGAGAGGUGACUGGAAUUCAUGGUGUAGCAGUGAAAUGCGUAGAGAUCAUGAGGAAGACCAGUGGCGAAGGCGGGUCUCUGGACAGUUCCUGACACUGAGGCACGAAGGCCAGGGGAGCAAACGGG
rnacentral:rRNA from 1 species